rnacentral:rRNA from 1 species
UGCAACGACGAAAACCUUACCACCUUUGACAUGUACGGAAUCCUUUAGAGAUGGAGGAGUGCUCGAAGAGAGCCGUAACACAGGUGCUGCAUGGCUGUCGUCAGCUCGUGUCGUGAGAUGUUGGGUUAAGUCCCGCAACGAGCGCAACCCUUGUCAUUAGUUGCUACGAAAGGGCACUCUAAUGAGACUGCCGGUGACAAACCGGAGGAAGGUGGGGAUGACGUCAAGUCCUCAUGGCCCUUAUAGGUGGGGCUACACACGUCAUACAAUGGCUGGUACAAAGGGUUGCCAACCCGCGAGGGGGGAGCUAAUCCCAUAAAGCCAGUCGUAGUCCGGAUCGCAGUCUGCAACUCGACUGCGUGAAGUCGGAAUCGCUAGUAAUCGUGGAUCAGAAUGUCACGGUGAAUACGUUCCCGGGUCUU